rnacentral:rRNA from 1 species
AGGAUGAACGCUAGCGGCAGGCUUAAUACAUGCAAGUCGUGGGGCAGCAUGGUGUAGCAAUACACUGAUGGCGACCGGCAAACGGGUGCGGAACACGUACGCAACCUUCCUUUAACUGGAGAAUAGCCCGGGGAAACCCGGAUUAAUACUCCGUAACAUUAUGAAGUGGCAUCACUUUAUAAUUAUAGCUCCGGCGGUUGAAGAUGGGCGUGCGUCUGAUUAGGUAGUUGGCGGGGUAACGGCCCACCAAGCCUACGAUCAGUAACUGGUGUGAGAGCACGACCAGUCACACGGGCACUGAGACACGGGCCCGACUCCUACGGGAGGCAGCAGUAACGAAUCUUCCGCAAUGCACGAAAGUGUGACGGAGCGACGCCGCGUGUGGGAUGAAGUUCUUCGGAAUGUAAACCACUGUCAGGGGGAAGAAAGUUCUGAUCUACCCCAGAGGAAGAGACGGCUAACUCUGUGCCAGCAGCCGC